rnacentral:rRNA from 1 species
GACGAACGCUGGCGGCGUGCUUAACACAUGCCAGUCGAGCGGAAAGGCCCUUCGGGGUCCUCGAGCGGCGAACGGGUGAGUAACACGUGAGUAACCUGCCCCAGACUUUGGGAUAACCCCCGGAAACGGGGGCUAAUACCGGAUACGACACAGCUUCGCAUGGGGUCUGUGUGGAAAGUUUUUCGGUUUGGGAUGGGCUCGCGGCCUAUCAGCUUGUUGGUGGGGUGAUGGCCUACCAAGGCGACGACGGGUAGCCGGCCUGAGAGGGCGACCGGCCACACUGGGACUGAGACACGGCCCAGACUCCUACGGGAGGCAGCAGUGGGGAAUAUUGCACAAUGGGCGGAAGCCUGAUGCAGCGACGCCGCGUGAGGGAUGACGGCCUUCGGGUUGUAAACCUCUUUCAGCAGGGACGAAGCGUAAGUGACGGUACCUGCAGAAGAAGCGCCGGCCAACUACGUG